rnacentral:misc_RNA from 1 species
AUCACAAAUCCACAAUCCAUAAAACUUGCUGAAGGGUUGAAGUUUCACCUUUCUUUCUGUCAUGUUGAUUUUCCCUUGCGCUUCUUGCUUUGAAGCUCUGAAGAAGACCCACCAAUCCCAGAAUUAAAAUUGACUGGAACAAGGCUUCUCACACAAAUAUUUGCUGAGAUUUUUACGGGAAUCUCACUCUCAGGCUCUGGAGGAGAUCUAAAAAUUGUAACUCUUUUAGCACUUUUCUGCUCUAAAUCAUAUAAGACAGAGUAUACACCAUACUGAUCAUCCAAUAAGACUUCAUCGCCAGUUUUUGAAUAACAUAAAGGUUUCAGAUAGCUUGUAGAAAGAUCAGAAAUUCCAAGCUGCUCAUAGUAGAUCCGAAACAACUUAGUCCAAGAUUCCGUUAUUCCGUAUUCUUUCAUAACCCAUACCUCAACAGCGGUGCCCAUGCACGAACAGCUUAUAGCGAGGCUUCCUCUAAGUUCCGCCACACGUAAGCAAUAUGCUUCAUAUCCGUUAGAAUGAGGUUUUGGCAGCUCGCAGAACUUCUCAUUCCCAAGAUCAAAUGCAAGUAUCACGUUACCGACCCUUUUUUCUUGGUUACUAACCACCCAGUGCAGUGACCCACUAACAGGAACAGAGUAGCCG